rnacentral:lncRNA from 1 species
UAUAUAUAUAACCUAACCUAAACCUAGAUCGAUCGUCCCUGUUCUACAUCUACAGCUAAGGCAAACUCAAACAAACCGAAGAAACCCUUGACGUACGUAGGUAGGUAGGAAAAGUGGAGGCACAGCAUGGGAAGGCGGCCGGAGAUGUACGACGUCCACGUUGUCGACGUUGAGAAUGGGAAGAUGAAGCCUGCAGCCCAUGCCCAUGGAGAUGGAGAUGGAGAUGGAGAUGGAAAGACCACGCUCGCUGACGACUGCCGGUUUUGGUGCAUCUUGGUGGUCUGCUCCCUCCUUGUCACCGCAUGCAUAUUCAUCCCGAUCGACUACUGCUCGAUUUGGUGAUGCAUAUUCCCCAGACCAAGACCCCAUUUGGUGAUGCCUUUUUCUUUUCAUUAUUAUUACAAAACCAUGUACCAAUC